rnacentral:rRNA from 1 species
AAUGAACGCUGGCGGAAUGCUUUACACACUGCAAGUCUGAACGGCAGCACGGACUUCGAGUCUGGUGGCGAGUGGCGAACGGGUGAGUAAUACAUCGGAAUCGUGCCCAGUCGUGGGGGAUAACCGUAGCGAAAGCUACGCUAAUACCGCAUACGAUCUACGGAUGAAAGCGGGGGAUCGUCAAAGACCUCGCGCGAUUGGAGCGGCCGAAUGGCAGAUUACGUAGUAUAGGUAGGUAAAAGGCCUACCAAUGCCGAACGAAUCUGUAGACUGGUCUGAGCAGCGACGAACCAGCCACCACUGGUGACUGAGAACACGUGCCCACGACUCCUACGCGGAAGGCACCAUGUGGGGAAUUUUGGACAAUGGGCGAAAGCCUGAUCCAGCCAUUCCGCGUGCAGGAUGAAGGCCCUCGGGUUGUAAACUGCUUCCGUACGGAACGAAAAGGUCCUGGUUAAUACCUGGGCUCAUGACGGUACCGUAAGAAUCAAGCACCGGCUAACUACGUGCACAGCAGACCGCUGGUAAUACGUACGGGUGCAAGCGUUAAUCGGAAUUACUGGGCGUAAAGCGUGCAGCAGGCGGUGAUGUAAGACAGGAGGUAGAAAUACCCCGGGCUCAACACUGGAGAACCUGCCUUUGUGACUGCAUCGACUCGAGUACGGCAAGAGGGGGCAUGGAAUUCCGCUGUGUAGCAGUGAACAUGCGUACGAUAUGCGGGAGGAACACCGAUAGGCGAAGGCAUCCCUGGGCCUGUACUGACGCUCAUGCACGAAAGCGGUGGGAGCCCACG